AGGACAAACCGACAAGUUUAUAUGCAAGUCAUGUUUUAUGUGAAGCAGCAAAGGAACAAAACAUUCUCCAGUUUCUCCCAGUGGAAAUGCGACUGCGGUGA